UCCCCGGUAGCUCAGCUGGUAGAGCGGUUGGCUGUUAACCAAUUUGUCGCAGGUUCGAAUCCUGCCCGGGGAGCCA
rnacentral:tRNA from 1 species